rnacentral:snoRNA from 1 species
AAUCCAUGAUGAGGGCAUUGAGCUUGGUAGCCUUUGAAUCUCUCCCAGGCUUCACUGAAUCCUUCCAAGCCGUUCUGUUGAAAGCUGGAGAUCUCAUUUCUCAGCUU